rnacentral:rRNA from 1 species
AUUGAACGCUGGCGGCAGGCCUAACACAUGCAAGUCGAGCGGAUGAAGGGAGCUUGCUCCUGGAUUCAGCGGCGGACGGGUGAGUAAUGCCUAGGAAUCUGCCUGGUAGUGGGGGAUAACGUCCGGAAACGGGCGCUAAUACCGCAUACGUCCUGAGGGAGAAAGUGGGGGAUCUUCGGACCUCACGCUAUCAGAUGAGCCUAGGUCGGAUUAGCUAGUUGGUGGGGUAAAGGCCUACCAAGGCGACGAUCCGUAACUGGUCUGAGAGGAUGAUCAGUCACACUGGAACUGAGACACGGUCCGGACUCCUACGGGAGGCAGCAGUGGGGAAUAUUGGACAAUGGGCGAAGGCCUGAUCCAGCCAUGCCGCGUGUGUGAAGAAGGUCUUCGGAUUGUAAAGCACUUUAAGUUGGGAGGAAGGGCAGUAAGUUAAUACCUUGCUGUUUUGACGUUACCAACAGAAUAAGCACCGGCUAACUUCGUG